GAAUACUGGAGUGGGUUGCCAUUUCCUUCCCCAAAGGAUCUUCCUGACCCAGGGAUCAAACCCUUGUGUCCUGCAUUGGCAGGUGGAUUCUUUACCUUUGAGCCACCAGUAAAGGCUCUUUAGUAAGUCCCUUAUAACUUAGGACAGACAACCAAAUUUAAACAAAUACUGUGAAUAGCUGGAAAAGUAAUUGUGCAAAACUCUGGGCAGAAAUAGUAUAAGAUGUCAGAGGGAUAUAUCAUAAGAUGGCUGAUAUGUCAUAAGAAUGUGACCUCUCGAGGGUCACAUUCUUGAGAAUGUGAAAUUUAAGCUGAGACAUGGAAUCAUUUAUUUAUAACAUAGUUAAGUUCAACCAAGAAAACAGAAUCUACCAAAUGCUAAGCAUGGUUCUGGGUAUUAUAAGAAUGCAGAGAUGAAUAUGGCAUGACCCCACCCUCAUGAAAUUUACAGCACAUUAGCAAAGUGUUGUUGUUGUUCAGUAGCUAAGUCGUCUCCAACUCUUUGUGACCCCAUGGACUGCAGCACCCCAGGCUUCCCUUGUCCUUCACUAUCUCCUGGAAGAGAUAAGUCUCAGAUAACUCAAAGCUGAGUUAGUCUCAGAACUGAAAUGAGUCUCAGAUAACUUGAAAGCUUAUUCGUCCUCGUGACACUGGGCCAUUGCCUGACCCAGUGUCAGCAGAUUGGGAAGAGCAGAUGUGCAAGGCAGGGGGAGAAAGGUGAGGAGCUCAAAUUUAGAGUCACUGAUGGAAGGUACCCCAGGAACAAUGCAAACACUAUUUGCAUAAUAAGCAGCUGACGGAUUUGAAUCUGAAUCAAACUGGGGAAGAGGUUGGAGCUGGAGGAUCCAGGGAGCAGAUAAAACCCAGGGAGCAGCGAGUACAAGAAACCCAAGGGCUGCGUGUUCAGAAAGAGGAAGUCAGAGGAGGUGGAGGAGAAGGAAUAGGAAGCAGGCAGAGAGCAGGGAGUGAGAGCAGGGUCCCAGGGCAGAGGAGACUGUCCGGCAGGGAUGCAAAGUCAUCUGUGCAAGAAAAACUUCCGAUAGAAGCAGAACACAGAGCCACACAUAGAGGAGGCCCAAAUGUAACAAAUAUCCAGGCUAAUCAUUCUUGAAAUUGAUCACUGUUUCCCCCAAGCUUCCUCACACUCAAGACAAAAGGAGAAAUGUGACAGAUUUUGUAAGGUUUAUAAUUUGAUACAAGAGAGCACGUUUCAAGGGAAAGUGACUUGCAGAAUGCCUAAGAGCAGAAAACUUAGAGGGGGGAAAUUCAACAUGUUUUCAUAUCCUACAACUUAAUGUUUUUUUUUCUCCUAGCUAUUAUUCCCUAGACCUGGAAAUUUCAGAAACCCGAAUGGAAGCCCUCACAGGACUGCAGCGUUACACACCGAAAAGCAACAAGAAACACACAUCGAUGGUUGGCUUUUCUUCCUCUUGAGCAGCAGCAAUGCUAACGGCAGGGGUGGGAGUCAGGAAGAGAAGAGGAAACAGGGAGACACAGGCAGAGAAGGUCAUGUGACUAUGGAAGGAGAGAUGGGAGUGAUGCUGCGGUCAAUCAAGGAGUCCAUACAGCACCAGAAGCUGGAAGAGGCAAGGAAAUAUUCUCCUCUAGAGCCUGAAUUCAGAGAGGACAGGUCUCUGCUGACAUCUGGAUUUUAGACUGCUGGCUACCAGGACUAGACCUCCGAAUGAUCAACAAGAGUACUGUGAACUUCAAUCAAUCAACAGAGCAUCACCUACGUGAAUCUGGCGUUCCUUACCUCCAAGGGCAAAAUUAGACUGCCGGCCUCCCAACUGAUUCCAGCGAACGAACAGCACUGGGCCUGAGAGAUAAAACAAAUCAGCUAAUGCUUGGCAAAAGAUGUUGCCUUUGAAAUCAGCUGCAUCCAAUUUCUUCCCUCUUGACACUGGCAUUUGAAGGAACAAGCCACAGAUGCAGUCUUGACACCAGUGUGUCCCGGGAGGGCUUCAUGGCUCAAGGACCCAAAAGGCGCCUCUAGUCAUCGGACUCCGUGACACUGUUCAGUGUCUCCCCUCAACCUAAGGGGCAAGGGAAGAAGAAGAGAGAACCACACAC